rnacentral:rRNA from 1 species
AGAGUUUGAUCCUGGCUCAGGAUGAACGCUGGCGGCGUGCCUAAUACAUGCAAGUCGAGCGAACAGACGAGGAGCUUGCUCCUUUGAUGUUAGCGGCGGACGGGUGAGUAACACGUAGGUAACCUACCUAUAAGACUGGGAUAACUUCGGGAAACCGGAGCUAAUACCGGAUAAUAUUUCGAACCGCAUGGUUCGAUAGUGAAAGAUGGCUUUGCUAUCACUUAUAGAUGGACCUGCGCCGUAUUAGCUAGUUGGUAAGGUAACGGCUUACCAAGGCAACGAUACGUAGCCGACCUGAGAGGGUGAUCGGCCACACUGGAACUGAAACACGGUCCAGACUCCUACGGGAGGCAGCAGUAGGGAAUCUUCCGCAAUGGGCGAAAGCCUGACGGAGCAACGCCGCGUGAGUGAUGAAGGUCUUCGGAUCGUAAAACUCUGUUAUUAGGGAAGAACAAACGUGUAAGUAACUGUGCACGUCUUGACGGUACCUAAUCAGAAAGCCACGGCUAACUACCUGCCACCCGCCGCGGUAAUACGUAGGUGGCAAGCGUUAUCCGGAAUUAUUGGGCGUAAAGCGCGCGUAGGCGGUUUUUUAAGUCUGAUGUGAAAGCCCCACGGCUCAACCGUGGAGGGUCAUUGGAAACUGGAAAACUUGAGUGCAAAAGAGGAAAAGUGGAAUUCCAUGUGUAGCGGUGAAAUGCGCAGAGAUAUGGAGGAACACCAGUGGCGAAGGCGACUUUCUGGUCUGUAACUGACGCUGAUGUGCGAAAGCGGGGGGAUCAAACAGGAUUAGAUACUCUGGCAAUCC